rnacentral:rRNA from 1 species
UUAAGCGUGCUUGGGCGAGAGUAGUACUAGGAUGGGUGACCUCCUAGGAAGUCCUCGUGUUGCACCCC